AUGGCGACGGGCGAGGAGGCGAGGGAGCGCAGCGCGGAGUCGGUGGAGAUGGUGCCGUCGUGGCGUGAGCAGCUGACGGUCCGGGCCUUGGUGGUGAGCGCGCUCCUGGCCGUGCUCUUCAGCGUCAUCGUCGUGAAGCUGAGCCUCACCGCGGGGAUCAUCCCCUCGCUCAACAUCUCCGCGGGGCUGCUUGGCUUCUUCUUCGCCCGCCUCUGGGCGGCCGCCGAGGCCAGGCUGGGCCUGCCCCGCCGCCCCUUCACGCGGCAGGAGAACACCGUUAUGCAGAGCUGCGUCGUCGCCGCCUACGGCAUCGCCUUCAGCGGUGGAUUCGGCUCCUACAUGUUUGCCAUGAGCAGCAGGAUCGCCGGCCAGGCGACCGAGGCGAAUGACGCCAUGAACGUCAAGGACCCCAGCUUGGGGUGGAUGAUCGGGUUCCUCUUCCUCGUUUGCUUCGUCGGCCUCUUUGUCAGGAGAACCCUG
rnacentral:rRNA from 1 species